rfam:Arabis alpina cultivar Pajares chromosome 7, whole genome shotgun sequence.
AGUUAUUGGACAUGAGGUGAAUGGGUCGAAUGCGCUUGUCUAAGUUCCGACCCAGGAAAGUCCCCGGGCUACUAAUCCGCAGAGAUGCGGCCUCGGUAACGAGAGAGUCAUACGGUCGGAGAGACACAAUAAGCUAAGACGCGUGUGUGGAGCUUUCGUGGUCUCGAUCGAUGUUAACAUGGCCGUUCUAACAGUUAUUCACUUGGUUCCUUAAUUGGUUCUAACAGAACGGGGCUUACUGUUCCAAUGAC